rnacentral:rRNA from 1 species
GAUGAACGCUGGCGGUCUGCUUAACACAUGCAAGUCGAACGGAGUAGCAAUACUUAGUGGCGGACGGGUGAGUAACGCGUGAGAAUCUGCCUUCAGGACGGAGACAACAGUUGGAAACGACUGCUAACCCCCGAUGUACCGCAAGGGAAAAUAUUUAUAGCCUGAAGAUGAGCUCGCGUCCGAUUAGCUAGUUGGAGGGGUAAAGGCCCACCAAGGCGACGAUCGGUAGCUGGUCUGAGAGGACGAUCGGCCACACUGGGACUGAGACACGGCCCAGACUCCUACGGGAGGCAGCAGUGGGGAAUUUUCCGCAAUGGGCGAAAGCCUGACGGAGCAAUACCGCGUGAGGGACGACGGCUUUUGGGUUGUAAACCUCUUUUCCCUGGGAAGAAGAUCUGACGGUACCAGGGGAAUCAGCAUCGGCUAACUUCGUGCCAGCAGCCGCGGUAAU